AUUGAACGCUGGCGGCAGGCCUAACACAUGCAAGUCGAGCGGAUGAGAGGAGCUUGCUUCUCGAUUCAGCGGCGGACGGGUGAGUAAUGCCUAGGAAUCUGCCUGGUAGUGGGGGACAACGUUUCGAAAGGAACGCUAAUACCGCAUACGUCCUACGGGAGAAAGCAGGGGACCUUCGGGCCUUGCGCUAUCAGAUGAGCCUAGGUCGGAUUAGCCAGUUGGUGAGGUAAUGGCUCACCAAGGCGACGAUCCGUAACUGGUCUGAGAGGAUGAUCAGUCACACUGGAACUGAGACACGGUCCAGACUCCUAUGGGAGGCAGCAGUGUGGAAUAUUGGACAAUGGGCGAAAGCCUGAUCCAGCCAUGCCGCGUGUGUGAAGAAGGUCUUCGGAUUGUAAAGCACUUUAAGUUGGGAGGAAGGGUUGUAGAUUAAUACUCUGCAAUUUUGACGUUACCGACAGAAUAAGCACCGGCUAACUCUGUGCCAGCCGCCGCGGUAA
rnacentral:rRNA from 1 species